UACGUAGGGUGCGAGCGUUGUCCGGAAUUAUUGGGCGUAAAGAGCUCGUAGGCGGCUUGUCACGUCGGAUGUGAAAGCCCGGGGCUUAACUCCGGGUCUGCAUUCGAUACGGGCAGGCUAGAGUUCGGUAGGGGAGAUCGGAAUUCCUGGUGUAGCGGCGGAAUGCGCAGAUAUCAGGAGGAACACCGGUGGCGAAGGCGGGUCUCUGGGCAGUAACUGACGCUGAGGAGCGAAAGCGUGGGGAGCGAACAGG
rnacentral:rRNA from 1 species